CCCUUAGAUGUUCUGGGCCGCACGCGCGCUACACUGACGAAUGCAACGAGCUUAUAACCUUGGCCGAAAGGUCUGGGUAAUCUCCAAAUUUCGUCGUGAUGGGGAUAGAUUAUUGCAAUUAUUAAUCUUCAACGAGGAAUGCCUAGUAAGUGCAAGUCAUCAGCUUGCGUUGAUUACGUCCCUGCCCUUUGUACACACCGCCCGUCGCUCCUACCGAUUGAAUGGUCCGGUGAAGCGUUCGGACCGUGGCCUUUGGACGGUUCGCCGUCUGUUGGCUGCGGGAAGUUCGUUAAACCUUAUCAUUUAGAGGAAGGAGGAGUCGUANCA
rnacentral:rRNA from 1 species